rnacentral:rRNA from 1 species
CCUACGGGUGGCAGCAGUGGGGAAUAUUGGACAAUGGGCGAAAGCCUGAUCCAGCCAUGCCGCGUGUGUGAAGAAGGCCUUCGGGUUGUAAAGCACUUUCAGUGGGGAAGAAAGCCUUGGGGCUAAUACCCUCGAGGAAGGACAUCACCCACAGAAGAAGCACCGGCUAACUCCGUGCCAGCAGCCGCGGUAAUACGGAGGGUGCGAGCGUUAAUCGGAAUUACUGGGCGUAAAGCGCGCGUAGGCGGUCUGAUAAGCCGGUUGUGAAAGCCCCGGGCUCAACCUGGGAACGGCAUCCGGAACUGUCAGGCUAGAGUGCAGGAGAGGAAGGUAGAAUUCCCGGUGUAGCGGUGAAAUGCGUAGAGAUCGGGAGGAAUACCAGUGGCGAAGGCGGUCUUCUGGACUGACACUGACGCUGAGGUGCGAAAGCGUGGGUAGCAAACAGGAUUAGAUACCCCUGUAGUC